GACAGAGGGUGCAAACGUUGUUCGGAAUUACUGGGCGUAAAGCGCGUGUAGGCGGCAAGGCAAGUCGGAUGUGAAAGCCCACGGCUCAACCGUGGAAGUGCACCCGAAACUGCCUAGCUAGAGUCUCGGAGAGGAAGGUGGAAUGCUUGGUGUAGAGGUGAAAUUCGUAGAUAUCGGGAGGAACACCGGUGGCGAAGGCGGCGACCUGGGUAGAUACUGACGCUGAGGUGCGAAAGCGUGGGGAGCAAACAGG
rnacentral:rRNA from 1 species